UACGAAGGGUGCAAGCGUUACUCGGAAUUACUGGGCGUAAAGCGUGCGUAGGUGGUGAGUUAAGUCUGUCGUGAAAUCCCCCGGGCUUAACCUGGGAACUGCAUUGGUGACUGGCAGGCUUUGAGUGUGGCAGAGGGAGGUAGAAUUCCACGUGUAGCCAGUGAAAUGCGUAGAGAUGUGGAGGAAUACCGAUGGCGAAGGCAGCCUCCUGGGCCAACACUGACGCUCAUGCACGAAAGCGUGG
rnacentral:rRNA from 1 species